GUCUCAAAAAAAUAAAAAUAAAAAACAAUUUUUUAAAAGGCUGAGGUGGGAGGAUCACUUGAGCCUAGAGAUUCUGGUUGACAGUGUGUUAUGCCAAUUGGGUGUUCCCACUAAUUGAGUGUUCAGCACCAAUGUGGUAACCUCCCAGGAGUGGGAGACCACCAGGUUGCCUAAGGAGGGGUGAACCGGAGCAAGUCAAAACUCCUGUGAUGACCAGUAGUGGGAUGUGGCCUGUGAAUAGCUACUGCACUCCAGCCUGGGCAACAUAGCAAGAUCUUAUCUCU
rnacentral:SRP_RNA from 1 species